rnacentral:rRNA from 1 species
AAUGAACGCUGGCGGCAUGCCUUUCACAUGCAAGUCGAACGGCAGCAUGACCUAGCUUGCUAGGUUGAUGGCGAGUGGCGAACGGGUGAGUAAUGCAUCGGAACGUGCCUUUUAGUGGGGGAUAACGUAGCGAAAGUUACGCUAAUACCGCAUAUUCUCUGAGGAGGAAAGCAGGGGACCUUCGGGCCUUGCGCUAGAAGAGCGGCCGAUGUCGGAUUAGCUAGUUGGUGAGGUAAAGGCUCACCAAGGCAACGAUCCGUAGCGGGUCUGAGAGGAUGAUCCGCCACACUGGGACUGAGACACGGCCCAGACUCCUACGGGAGGCAGCAGUGGGGAAUUUUGGACAAUGGGCGCAAGCCUGAUCCAGCCAUGCCGCGUGAGUGAAGAAGGCCUUCGGGUUGUAAAGCUCUUUCGGCUGGGAAGAAAUCGCACCCUCUAAUACAGGGUGUGGAUGACGGUACCAGCAUAAGAAGCACCGGCUAACUACGUG